GCAGUAGAAGCUGAAGUCUGGUGCUUGCACUAGACGGAUGAGUUGCGAACGGGUGAGUAACGCGUAGGUAACCUGCCUCAUAGCGGGGGAUAACUAUUGGAAACGAUAGCUAAUACCGCAUAACAGUAUUUACCGCAUGGUAGAUGCUUGAAAGGAGCAACUGCUUCACUAUGAGAUGGACCUGCGUUGUAUUAGCUAGUUGGUGAGGUAACGGCUCACCAAGGCAUCGAUACAUAGCCGACCUGAGAGGGUGAUCGGCCACACUGGGACUGAGACACGGCCCAGACUCCUACGGGAGGCAGCAGUAGGGAAUCUUCGGCAAUGGGGGCAACCCUGACCGAGCAACGCCGCGUGAGUGAAGAAGGUUUUCGGAUCGUAAAGCUCUGUUGUAAGAGAAGAACUGUGAGAAGAGUGGAAAGUUUCUCAUUUGACGGUAUCUUACCAGAAAGGGACGGCUAACUACGUGCCAGCAGCCGCGGUAAUACGUAGGUCCCGAGCGUUGUCCGGAUUUAUUGGGCGUAAAGCGAGCGCAGGCGGUUUGAUAAGUCUGAAGUAAAAGGCUGUGGCUUAACCAUAGUACGCUUUGGAAACUGUCAAACUUGAGUGCAGAAGGGGAGAGUGGAAUUCCAUGUGUAGCGGUGAAAUGCGUAGAUAUAUGGAGGAACACCGGUGGCGAAAGCGGCUCUCUGGUCUGUAACUGACGCUGAGGCUCGAAAGCGUGGGGAGCGAACAGGAUUAGAUACCCUGGUAGUCCACGCCGUAAACGAUGAGUGCUAGGUGUUGGGUCCUUUCCG
rnacentral:rRNA from 1 species